GUCAUAUGCUUGUCUCAAAGACUAAGCCAUGCAUGUCUCAGUACAAGCCAAAUUAAGGUGAAACCGCAAAAGGCUCAUUAAAUCAGUUAUGGUUCCUUAGAUCGUACCCACAAUUACUUGGAUAACUGUGGUAAUUCUAGAGCUAACACAUGCAAACAGAGCUCCGACCGGGGACGGAAGGAGUGCUUUUAUUAGAUCAAAACCAAUCGGUGGCGGGUGUUCGCGCGCUCGUCAUCGUACGAAGUGGUGAUUCUGAAUAACUUUACGCUGAUCGCACGGUCAUCGCACCGGCGACGCGUCUUUCAAAUGUCUGCCUUAUCAACUGUCGAUGGUAGGUUCUGCGCCUACCAUGGUUGUAACGGGUAACGGGGAAUCAGGGUUCGAUUCCGGAGAGGGAGCCUGAGAAACGGCUACCACAUCCAAGGAAGGCAGCAGGCGCGCAAAUUACCCACUCCCGGCACGGGGAGGUAGUGACGAAAAAUAACGAUACGGGACUCAUCCGAGGCCCCGUAAUCGGAAUGAGCACAUUCUAAACCAAUUAACGAGGAUCUAUUGGAGGGCAAGUCUGGUGCCAGCAGCCGCGG
rnacentral:rRNA from 1 species